AUUGAACGCUGGCGGCAGGCCUAACACAUGCAAGUCGAGCGGAUGAAGGGAGCUUGCUCCUGGAUUCAGCGGCGGACGGGUGAGUAAUGCCUAGGAAUCUGCCUGGUAGUGGGGGAUAACGUCCGGAAACGGGCGCUAAUACCGCAUACGUCCUGAGGGAGAAAGUGGGGGAUCUUCGGACCUCACGCUAUCAGAUGAGCCUAGGUCGGAUUAGCUAGUUGGUGGGGUAAAGGCCUACCAAGGCGACGAUCCGUAACUGGUCUGAGAGGAUGAUCAGUCACACUGGAACUGAGACACGGUCCAGACUCCUACGGGAGGCAGCAGUGGGGAAUAUUGGACAAUGGGCGAAAGCCUGAUCCAGCCAUGCCGCGUGUGUGAAGAAGGUCUUCGGAUUGUAAAGCACUUUAAGUUGGGAGGAAGGGCAGUAAGUUAAUACCUUGCUGUUUUGACGUUACCAAAAGAAUAAGCACCGGCUAACUUCAUG
rnacentral:rRNA from 1 species